AUUGAACGCUGGCGGCAGGCCUAACACAUGCAAGUCGAACGAGUGGCGAACGGGUGAGUAAUACGUGGGAACCUGCCCUCCUUUUUGGGAUAAGCCUUGGAAACGGGGUCUAAUACCGAAUAGAGGGGGAUGGGCUCGGGGCCUAUCAGCUUGUUGGGGGGGUAAUGGCUCACCUAGGCGACGAUCCCUAGCUGGUCUGAGAGGUUGAUCAGCCACACGGGGACUGAGAAACGGCCCAGACUCCUACGGGAGGCAGCAGUGGGGAAUAUUGCACAAUGGGCGCAAGCCUGAUGCAGCCAUGCCGCGUGUAUGAUGAAGGCUGUAGGGUUGUAAAGUAUUUUCAGUCGGGAGGCGGUACCGACAGAAGAAGCACCGGCUAACUCCGUGCCAGCAGCCGCGGUAAUUC
rnacentral:rRNA from 1 species